CAACCGGAUUUUCUAAAAUCCACCCAACUAUCAAAGUUCACUUCCAU
rfam:Thalassiosira oceanica strain CCMP1005 To_g16440, whole genome shotgun sequence.